rnacentral:rRNA from 1 species
GAUGAACGCUGGCGGCGUGCCUAAUACAUGCAAGUCGAGCGAACGGACGAGAAGCUUGCUUCUCUGAUGUUAGCGGCGGACGGGUGAGUAACACGUGGAUAACCUACCUAUAAGACUGGGAUAACUUCGGGAAACCGGAGCUAAUACCGGAUAAUAUUUUGAACCGCAUGGUUCAAAAGUGAAAGACGGUCUUGCUGUCACUUAUAGAUGGAUCCGCGCUGCAUUAGCUAGUUGGUAAGGUAACGGCUUACCAAGGCAACGAUGCAUAGCCGACCUGAGAGGGUGAUCGGCCACACUGGAACUGAGACACGGUCCAGACUCCUACGGGAGGCAGCAGUAGGGAAUCUUCCGCAAUGGGCGAAAGCCUGACGGAGCAACGCCGCGUGAGUGAUGAAGGUCUUCGGAUCGUAAAACUCUGUUAUUAGGGAAGAACAUAUGUGUAAGUAACUGUGCACAUCUUGACGGUACCUAAUCAGAAAGCCACGGCUAACUACGUGCCAGCAGCCGCGGUAAUACGUAGGUGGCAAGCGUUAUCCGGAAUUAUUGGGCGUAAAGCGCGCGUAGGCGGUUUUUUAAGUCUGAUGUGAAAGCCCACGGCUCAACCGUGGAGGGUCAUUGGAAACUGGAAAACUUGAGUGCAGAAGAGGAAAGUGGAAUUCCAUGUGUAGCGGUGAAAUGCGCAGAGAUAUGGAGGAGCACCAGUGGCGAAGGCGACUUUCUGGUCUGUAACUGACGCUGAUGUGCGAAAGCGUGGGGAUCAAACAGGAUUAGAUACCCUGGUAGUCCACGCCGUAAACGAUGAGUGCUAAGUGUUAGGGGGUUUCCGCCCCUUAGUGCUGCAGCUAACGCAUUAAGCACUCCGCCUGGGGAGUACGACCGCAAGGUUGAAACUCAAAGGAAUUGACGGGGACCCGCACAAGCGGUGGAGCAUGUGGUUUAAUUCGAAGCAACGCGAAGAACCUUACCAAAUCUUGACAUCCUUUGACAACUCUAGAGAUAGAGCUUUCCCCUUCGGGGGACAAAGUGACAGGUGGUGCAUGGUUGUCGUCAGCUCGUGUCGUGAGAUGUUGGGUUAAGUCCCGCAACGAGCGCAACCCUUAAGCUUAGUUGCCAUCAUUAAGUUGGGCACUCUAAGUUGACUGCCGGUGACAAACCGGAGGAAGGUGGGGAUGACGUCAAAUCAUCAUGCCCCUUAUGAUUUGGGCUACACACGUGCUACAAUGGACAAUACAAAGGGCAGCGAAACCGUGAGGUCAAGCAAAUCCCAUAAAGUUGUUCUCAGUUCGGAUUGUAGUCUGCAACUCGACUACAUGAAGCUGGAAUCGCUAGUAAUCGUAGAUCAGCAUGCUACGGUGAAUACGUUCCCGGGUCU